UACGAAGGCUUCAAGCGUUAUCCGGAUUUAUUGGGCGUAAAGGGCUCGUAGGCGGCCAACUAAGUCAUACGUGAAAUCCCUCAGCUUAACUGGGGAACUGCGUGUGAUACUGGAUGGCUUGGAUUUGGGAGAGGGAUGCGGAAUUCCAGGUGUAGCGGUGAAAUGCGUAGAUAUCUGGAGGAACACCGGUGGCGAAGGCGGCCCUCUGGACGGAUACUGACGCUGAGACGCGACAGCGUGGGGAGCAAACAGG
rnacentral:rRNA from 1 species